rnacentral:rRNA from 1 species
UACGAAGGGGGCUAGCGUUGCUCGGAAUCACUGGGCGUAAAGCGCACGUAGGCGGAUCUUUAAGUCAGGGGUGAAAUCCCGGAGCUCAACUCCGGAACUGCCUUUGAUACUGAGGGUCUCGAGUUCGGGAGAGGUGAGUGGAACUGCGAGUGUAGAGGUGAAAUUCGUAGAUAUUCGCAAGAACACCGGUGGCGAAGGCGGCAACCUGGUCCUUGACUGACGCUGAGGCGCGAAAGCGUGGGGGAGCAAACAGG